UGACCUCGCCAGAUCUGGCAAGGGCGAGCCUCGCCCAUGGCCAGCGAGGCUCGACCUCGCCAGAUUUGGCGAGGUCG
rnacentral:pre_miRNA from 1 species